UGCAAGUCGAACGGGGUGAGGGGGCAACUCCUCAUUCAGUGGCGAACGGGUGAGUAAUGCAUCGGAACGUGUCCCGUAGUGGGGGAUAACGCCGGGAAACCGGCGCUAAUACCGCAUAUGCUCUACGGAGGAAAGUGGGGGACCGCAAGGCCUCACGCUAUGGGAGCGGCCGAUGUCCGAUUAGCUUGUUGGCGGGGUAAAGGCCCACCAAGGCGACGAUCGGUAGCUGGUCUGAGAGGAUGAUCAGCCACACUGGGACUGAGACACGGCCCAGACUCCUACGGGAGGCAGCAGUGGGGAAUUUUGGACAAUGGGGGCAACCCUGAUCCAGCCAUGCCGCGUGCGGGAAGAAGGCCUUCGGGUUGUAAACCGCUUUUAGUCGGAAAGAAAAGGCACGCCCUAAUACGGCGUGUUCUUGACGGUACCGGCGGAAUAAGCACCGGCUAACUACGUGCCAGCAGCCGCGGUAAUACGUAGGGUGCGAGCGUUAAUCGGAAUUACUGGGCGUAAAGCGUGCGCAGGCGGUUCGUUGUGUCUGAUGUGAAAUCCCCGGGCUCAACCCGGGAACUGCAUUGGAAACUGGCGGACUUGAGUGUGGCAGAGGGGGGUGGAAUUCCGCGUGUAGCAGUGAAAUGCGUAGAUAUGCGGAGGAACACCGAUGGCGAAGGCAGCCCCUCUGGGCCAACACUGACGCUCAGGC
rnacentral:rRNA from 1 species